CACGGGGGUUGCGAGCGUUGUCCGGAAUUACUAGGCGUAAAGGGCAGGCAGGCGGAUCCAUAAGUUUAUCGUUUAAGGCGUCGGCUUAACCGGCGUAGGGCGGUAGAUACUGUGGAUCUGGAAUGCGGUUGGGGAAGACAGAAUUCCUGGUGUAGCGGUGGAAUGCGCAGAGAUCAGGAGGAAUACCGAAGGCGAAGGCAGUCUUCCAAGCCGUUAUUGACGCUCAACUGCGAAGGUGUGGGUAUCAAAAAGGAUUAGAUACCCCGGUAGUCCCUGAGCGGG
rnacentral:rRNA from 1 species